AUAACGGAAGGGGAAUGGGCGUUCACAGCAGUUAGGUUUUGGGUGAAGUGGAGGAGAUUAAACAGAGGUUUCAUCAAUUCUGAUUCUCUGACCGCCAGAACAUGGUGUUUUUUCUGUUCCCUAAUGCUUCGUUAGAACCCGAAAUGAAGAUGGUGAUAGGUUGAGUGCACUUUCAGCUUGUCUUCUUCACAUUCUUUCAUUCUUGGACACAAAACCAGAUGGAUAAACCUUUUUCUUUCACUUCCCUAUAUUGACUUAUGUUUCUCUUUAACGGAUCAUCUGAGACUCUAGUUUCUUUACAUCUAAACCUUCCUUUGGGUUGGAAUGCUCCUAGAAUUUGUUUGGUUGCCGAAUCUCAGGACUCUUUGGUUGGCUUCAUUCAGAUUGGUGGACGAGAAUUCUAUUCCGAGGAUUCUCCAAGUCUUCCCUUCGCUUGAACAUCUGGUGUUAAUUCUGCAGUCUUUGAACGAGAAUGAGAAUGAGAGUCAGAGUGAAGGUGUCCAAGUUGAAAGUCUUUGCAUCUCGAUCCCCUCAUUGAAAUGGUUCGAGCUUUGUUCCGAUGAACAGGAGUUCAAUGUUGUUGUGAAGGCAGAAAAUCUUGUCAACUUUGUAUGCGAUCUUGAGGGAUUGCACAAGGUUACCUUAGAUGCCCUAAACCUGAAGUCCUUGACAGUUAUGGGUGAUGUUCUUCAAGUUCACAUAACUAAAAGCCUAUUCUCUAUUGAAGAGGCAGUGAUAGAAGCAGAACUUUGUUUCUAUUUGACAAGUGUGUGUGACUUGGUUUUACGUUCUCAAUAUGUUUUUUUUUUCUUUUGUUUUUUAGCAGGUUGCAACAUGUGAAAUUACUCAGUUUGUCAGAGAACAUUAUGAAGGUGUAUUUCUUUUCGCCUGUCUGGUUUAAUUUGGCCUGUCUUCCAAGUCUUUCCUCCAUGUUUUAACAGUUGAAGUGGAACUAUGUUGUUAUAUAAUUUUGUUGUUAUAUGUGUGAAGGCUCUCUAUGUUUCUUCAAUGACAAUACCAACUUCCAGGAACUUGGUCAAGCUAGAGCUUAUCCCUGACUAUUGCCCUGAUUUUCGCCGUAGCUGCAUCUCACAUGUGUUAUUGAAAUUGUUUGAAAGUGCUUAUCUUCAAUGAGGUAAGUUGUGUUGGAUAUUUUGGUGUGCAGAUUAUUUGUUAUUCAUUUUCAGGUCCCGUACAUACUUUAUAUGUACGGUGUUCGACAACCACUUUGGCGAAGAUGGCAAAGUUGAUUCUAUUUUUCUGCGGGUUCUUCCACUAUCUUGUGUUGCACAUCUUAAGGUAAUAGAAAUUACUAGUUUUAAAGAUAGAUAACUUGAAUUCAAGCUGGUGGAAUAAUUUUUAAAGAACGGAAAAUCUCUGGAAAAGAUUGGUCUUGGUAGAGAAGGUUGGAAGUUUGUACCAAAACAUCGCAAGAGGAUACUCUCCCACGAGAAGUGCUCUGGUUGUCAGAUUGUAUUCAGAAAUACAAGAUUUUAUAAAAAAAAAAAAAAAAAAACACCACAAUUACGAUGAGUCUAUCUCCUUAAGUUUCAUGGGUAUAACACCUUAGAGCUAAAAAAAAUUUGUGUAAAAGUGUUCUGUUCAGAUAUUUAGUAUUAAUGCACCAUGGAAAUGGAUGACUAGGACUAGAUCUGCAGUUUAAUGAGAAUCUUCAACAAUAACUUUAAUAGAUCUAAAUUUGGUUAAAGUGUGAUUGGGAAUCUUAUGUGACUGCAACUGCUAGUGUCUUUGGUUCAGGUGAUUAGUUCAUUGUUUAAUUCCUUCUCUUGAAAUAUGCUGUUUUAUGGGACAUGAUAGUUUGGGAGAAAUUGUUUAUGAAGUAUGGUGAAAGAUACUAUAUUGAACAUGAGAUAUUGACAAUGAUUGGCCAUAUAGGUCGAUGUACCUACACUUUCAAGAUGUUUUAAUUGAAGCUUAUCAUUUGAGUGACAUGAACAUAGGAUUUUGUAAUUGUGAGGAGUUCAUUGUUUUAGUCUUCUCAUCUUUAUGAUGCUACUAGUACUCCAUUACUCUUAAGUUGAUGACUGUCAGAAUUAAAAAUGUUGACCGUAUGUUCGUUGGAACUUCUUAUUGUUAUCUUUUAAGUACAUGCUUAAUUGUGGAAGAUGUUCCCAAUUUCUCUUCAUGCAACUCCUAAUCUUAAAUUGUGUGUCUUUCCUCCAAUUACUCAUAAUUACUGUUAGGAUAUAGAAUUAAUACAAACAUCUGCUGCACUAACUAAUUUUAGUAAUCAUGUAUGUGAUUAGGAUCGUCCUCAGAGCAAUAAGAGAGUUUUAGUUUUUUUAUGCCAAAGGCUAUAUAAGUAGGUUUCUGUAAAGUGUAAACAUCAUAAAAAGACUGAUUAUCAUUUAUGUUUUUACCGUCUUGAAACAUGGUAUGAUUAUCAAUGUGGUAUUACGUAUGUAGGCUUUUAUCAGGCCUAUUGGAGCUGGCAGUUUUAUCUAUGGUUCUCUUUGUAUUAGCCUCAAAACGGUUUAGAAUGAAGAGGUACCUCCUUUUUGUCUCUGAAUAAGUAGUAUCCGAUGUUAUGUUAUGUUAUCAUGGAAUACAUACAAAUUGUGCCUUCUACUUCUAAUGAACUUAAUGAAUCUUGUUACAUGACAAUUGUUCUUAUGAUAAUUGUUUAGUGUAUGCUCUCGGUUAAUGGACCAUUCCUCUAAGUACUCACUAGUACAGUUUGGUAGCAACUAUUGAGGAGUCUUGUGGCAACUUUUAGCUUAUUAGAUGGGCAGCAAGCAGUACAUCUUUUAGUUCAAUGACAUAAUAGAUGAUUUUUUGUGCCUCCAUUUCUCCCUACUUCAUUUCUUCCCGGUCUGUCCAUGCCAGCAACAAUCCAACCAAGCAAUUAGAAUACAAUUGCAAGUAGAAAAGAACUAAACUUCAGCAAGAAUACGCAUUGGAACUUCUAGCUUUGAAGCUGCAAAAUCAGUAUCCACUGGGAUCAAAGAAUUAGGAGGCAGUUUUGAGAGCAAAGGUGAUGAUGAUGAUGACAAUCAUGAUUAAUGAUGUGUUGGUAUAUGUUCGAUGAAUCUCAAAGAGUGCUAGUUAUAUUUGUACCAAUGAUGUUGUGUCAAUUGGAUAAAAGAGAAUUAAUUUGUAAAUUUACUAGUUUUAUCAUUGGAUUGUAUUGGGGGAAUUCUCCAACACAUAACAUGGAUAAAAAAAAUAUGGUAACAAAAAAAAAAACACUACCAAUAGAUAUAUGAUUGGUUUAUUGUAGUUCAACUCA